GAUGAAGAACGCAGCGAAAUGCGAUAAGUAGUGUGAAUUGCAGAAUUCAGUGAAUCAUCGAAUCUUUGAACGCACAUUGCGCCCCUUGGUAUUCCAUGGGGCAUGCCUGUUCGAGCGUCAUCUACAACCCUCAAGCCCUGCUUGGUGUUGGGCGUCUGUCCCGCCCCCGCGCGCGGACUCGCCCCAAAUCCAUUGGCGGCGGCCCUUGCCUCCCUCUCGCGCAGCACAUUGCGCUUCUCGAGGCGUCGCGGGCCGCGCUCCACGAAGCACGCAAACCAGUCUUUGACCUCGGAUCAGGUAGGGAUACCCGCUGAACUUAAGCAUAUCAAUAAGCGGAGGA
rnacentral:misc_RNA from 1 species